rnacentral:lncRNA from 1 species
UGGAAACUCUUAGUCUCAGAAGGCUGAUUAGAAUGUGGAUAAGCCUGUGAGAGAAGGGGUGUGACAGGAAACUGGAAAUAUCCAUUACCUUGCUCUUCUGCACUAAAAUUCUCUUCCCCUGCCAGGAUCCGGCUAGGAGAGCCAGCCAAACCAGAUGAUCUUUCUGUUUUCCUUUUCCUGGUUCAGUUUCUGCAGGAUUCUGACUCCCAGCCAGAAUAACUCAAAAGGUCUCUGCUUUCAGCAACAGAGUCUACUGCCAACUCCUGUAUCCACAUCUGCAAAAUCAAGGAAACACUGCCUUAAAGGAGUGGUUCUCAAGAUUUGAGCACUUCAGAAUCACCUAACCUUAGAGUCCUGGGUAGGAGUGAAGAUUCUGCAUAUUUACAAAGGUCCAAGGACCAUAUGGCCAAGUCAUAUACCUUAUUGAGGUUAUGGUUUCUCCUGAAAGAAAUAGCUAUCUCUGCUGUCUGUCACCCUAGGACUGGUCAACCCUGGA